UGCAAGUCGAGCGGACAGAAGGGAGCUUGCUCCCGGAUGUUAGCGGCGGACGGGUGAGUAACACGUGGGUAACCUGCCUGUAAGACUGGGAUAACUCCGGGAAACCGGAGCUAAUACCGGAUAGUUCCUUGAACCGCAUGGUUCAAGGAUGAAAGACGGUUUCGGCUGUCACUUACAGAUGGACCCGCGGCGCAUUAGCUAGUUGGUGAGGUAACGGCUCACCAAGGCGACGAUGCGUAGCCGACCUGAGAGGGUGAUCGGCCACACUGGGACUGAGACACGGCCCAGACUCCUACGGGAGGCAGCAGUAGGGAAUCUUCCGCAAUGGACGAAAGUCUGACGGAGCAACGCCGCGUGAGUGAUGAAGGUUUUCGGAUCGUAAAGCUCUGUUGUUAGGGAAGAACAAGUGCAAGAGUAACUGCUUGCACCUUGACGGUACCUAACCAGAAAGCCACGGCUAACUACGUGCCAGCAGCCGCGGUAAUACGUAGGUGGCAAGCGUUGUCCGGAAUUAUUGGGCGUAAAGGGCUCGCAGGCGGUUUCUUAAGUCUGAUGUGAAAGCCCCCGGCUCAACCGGGGAGGGUCAUUGGAAACUGGGAAACUUGAGUGCAGAAGAGGAGAGUGGAAUUCCACGUGUAGCGGUGAAAUGCGUAGAGAUGUGGAGGAACACCAGUGGCGAAGGCGACUCUCUGGUCUGUAACUGACGCUGAGGAGCGAAAGCGUGGGGAGCGAACAGGAUUAGAUACCCUGGUAGUCCACGCCGUAAACGAUGAGUGCUAAGUGUUA
rnacentral:rRNA from 1 species